UUAAACACACAGCAACUGACGUACAUCAAGUUGAUUGGAUUGGGUGAACUUCUCAAGACUCCUGGCAUGAGAAUGAGACGUCUACUGUGCCAGGCCAUCGCUUAUUCAUAUGAUAUAGAGCAGGAUGCCUUUAUAAUUAAUGGGAGACCAUGUAGGAUCACACUAAAAGAUGUGGAGCAUAUAACAGGCCUGCCCUGCAUGGGGAAGAAUCACGUCUCUUCAAAUCACAACGAUACUUUGGAGUUGUGGAAGGAACUGAAAGACCCCAGUGACACAAAAGUAACUUUGAAAGGAUUGCUAGCCAAGAUGAAAGGCGACAACACACCUAAUUUUGUCAGGCCAUUUGUCUUGUACACCAUAGGCAAAUAUGUAUGCCCGACAACAUAG
rnacentral:rRNA from 1 species